UGACCUCGGAUCAGGUAGGACUACCCGCUGAACUUAAGCAUAU
rnacentral:rRNA from 1 species